rnacentral:rRNA from 1 species
UACGGGGGGGGCAAGCGGUUGUUCGGAAUUACUGGGCGUAAAGGGUGCGUAGGCGGUCUGUUAAGUUGGAUGUGAAAACUCUGGGCUCAACCCAGAGCCUGCAUCCAAAACUGGCAGGCUAGAGUUCUGGAGGGGGUAGCGGAAUUCCUGGUGUAGCGGUGAAAUGCGUAGAUAUCAGGAGGAACACCGGUGGCGAAGGCGGCUACCUGGGACGGUACUGACGCUGGAGACGCGAAAGCGUGGGGAGCGAACAGG